UACGUAGGGUGCGAGCGUUAAUCGGAAUUACUGGGCGUAAAGCGUGCGCAGGCGGUGAUGUAAGACAGUUGUGAAAUCCCCGGGCUCAACCUGGGAACUGCAUCUGUGACUGCAUCGCUGGAGUGCGGCAGAGGGGGAUGGAAUUCCGCGUGUAGCAGUGAAAUGCGUAGAUAUGCGGAGGAACACCGAUGGCGAAGGCAAUCCCCUGGGCCUGCACUGACGCUCAUGCACGAGAGCGUGGGGAGCAAACAGG
rnacentral:rRNA from 1 species